rnacentral:lncRNA from 1 species
GACGAUCUUAUCCUCGGACAGCCGCGGGAACUGACCUCCCCGGCUAUAAAAGGACCCCUCGACCCCUUUUUGCAACCAGAGCCGCCCCCUGCACCUCUCCUUUGAACCCCUGAAGCAACCAUGCCAUCACAGGAGCUCGUCUCGCUCGCUUCCGUCCGAGACGUCCGCUAGAGCCCUCCGGUUAAAUCCGUCGAAACCAAGACCCCUGUCGCCCCGCUAUCCUUGCUAUUAGUGUCCCUGUGGUCACGCAAAACCGUUCCCCUCUCCACUUUCAUCUGAAAGAGCACACCACCGGAACCCCUAUACCUCCCCAAAGCCACUGUCCGCCAAAGAACGCAUCCCCAGCAACACUGGGAUCCCCUCGGUCUCGGACCCCCUGAUCGCAUAGGUGGCCUCAACUCCUCAAGAUCUUCCACCAUUCGCCGGCGAGGAUUGUUGGAGCCCCGCCUAUGUCCAGACGCGAGGAAGAGGGAUGCGGGCGACUAGUCAAACCUGACUGGUGGACCCACAAACCCACGGUGAGUGAGACAGAGGUCAUACCGAUUCGUCCGAAGUGGAGGCGCAUUCAGCAAAGUACGUUUUCCCUGAUAAAAGCGUAUUGCCUCCGAACCGUUUUCCUUUUCUGUGUUUUAUUUAAAAACAAUUUUGACCCUAAGUUUGAUCGACACUAGUUUUUAAACUAUAACUUCAAAUGAUUUGAUUCUUUUUCCCUCCUCCUUCAAAUCUCCCCUAGUUUAUUUUAGUUAUUAUUUGAAAACUUUCCAAACAACUUUUCAAUACUAUUUUGGGAUUGUGUGUUGGUUCAGAUAUUUUCCUACCCUUUUGCAUACUCAAGGCAAGCAUCUUGAACAUAGAUAAGUUUUAGUUGAGUGAUUAUUUGUAGUGGUGUUUGAUCUGCAUGGUUAUGGAGUUGAAAUGAGCAUUUUAUAUGACGAUAUUUCAUGCUUUCUAUUAGUAUUGAAGACUUCAUUUCUAUUAAACAUGAACUGCAUGUCAUAGUAGCCAACCUUCAUGUCAUUCGUACCGAUGCCAAUGAGAUGAAAUCCGGAGAAAGGUUAUGUCUCUGGUAGAGACGACCAUGAGAUGGAUAUCCCGUUGUGACGGGGAUGAUCCACGAAGGCAUGAUGGGGCAUGAUAGGAGUGACUCUAUCAGAUUUUGGUGAAGCAAAUAUGUUGGGCUAAUGAUGAAGGGAAUGCAUAAACCUCUUGAGUCGAUCGUAGAUCGAGUCUGGCUCCAGUAACCUCCAUACUUGUUUCAUACUACCACAUGUCCCUGUCGCAAGUAGGGUACGGUUUAGUAAGUCGUCAACUCCUUUCUUGGCACACACCAUUCAGAGAGGCCAUAGUGAAAGAUACCAGUGGCCCCUGGUAGGCAUGUCACUUGGUCCGGGGGCAUGGAUGUUCCGGUUGGACCGAGGGGGUAGCACUUUGGUUUUGCGCGCGUUAUAAAUAUUGUGAUCCCAUGCUAUUAGAGAUUGUGGUUUCCCCACUUAGAGUUUGGCUUAACGAUUGUUGUGGGUGAUUCUAGGCAUCAGGAAGUUAAACUAGUGUGCGUGGGUUAGGUGUGUUUUCAACUCAAAGACCGUAAUUGGAAUUGGUUGACAACUGGUUGACUAAGGAAAUCCAUUACACGUGGAUAAAGAGUACACCCUCUGCAAAGUUUUAUAUCUAUUUGGAUAGCCAUGUCUGUGGUUAAGAACUAGAGUGUGGGAUAGGUCAAGUGUCGGUCUUCGGAGGAAAUUAAUUAACUACGAGGAUAAUCCUGAAUCAUGUUGGAUGAUCAUAUUUAUAUUGUUAUGGACUAACCUCUUCUUGUAUAUGCAAUUUGAAUGUCCCUGGGAUGGUUCUACCUCUUGGAUAUUCAUUGUUAUGAUUAUAUUAUAAGCCCUCUAUGUGGCGUCGCUCAUACGCCCAACUGUGGCAUGCAAGCUAUUAUUUACUCAUUGAUAUUAUAAGCCCUUUAUGUGACAUUGCAUAGACGCCCGACUGCGGCAUGCAUGCUAUUAAUUUCUGAUUGAUAUUAUAAGCCCUUUAUGAGGUGUCACUUAGACGCCCGAGUGUGGCAUGCAUGUCAUUACCUUAUUUAAGAGCCCUUUUCAUGGUGUCGCUCUAGACGCCUGACUGUGGCAACUCUUAUUAUUCUCUUAUGAGCCCUUUAUGUGGCGUCGCUCGGAUGCCCGACUAAGGCAUGUUGUAUAUUUUGAUCCUUUUGAGGUAUUGCUUUAGACACCCGAUUGGACUAUUUUAUGUUCAUGGAAUUUUUGGGAGGUCUAACGCCCGAUGUUCCAUGUUAUUUUCUUUCAUUGAUUGCUUAUUAAAUUUUUCAAUAUGGAUAAAUUACGUACUUGCUUGCAUUUAUAAAUUCAUCAUAUGACUGACUGAAUACUCGUGAAUAAUUUUCAGUGCAUAUUAAUCACGUGUUCUUUUAUGUGUGUUUUCAUGAUGUUUGAGAGUACAUUCAAACAUACUCACUGGCUUGUCCCUGGCUAUUGUCUUGGCCAGAUUGCGUAUUUGGAGAGGAGCACUAUGAUGACAACCCUAGAACCUAGGCACCGAAGAUAGCAGCCGUGCGACAUAAGAGUUAUCUAGGUCAUUUGUUCCUGUGGGAAAUGGAGUCCCAUAGACGCUGGAGAUCUGCAAACCGCUUCCGCCAUCAGCCACUAGAAAACUUGUUGUACCCAUAGACCGUCAUGGUCUAGUACCCAAAAAAUACAUUUGCUUUGAUAUUUUGUAUCAAGGAUGUGUGCACCACCUAACAUUAUUCCUCGGGCUAGUGAGCACAAUGGUCAUUUACUGGGAAAUUUAUAUCUUGGGAAACCGGCCUCAUAACCUUGGUAUCAGAGCCAGACUGAACAUUAGCUAAUCCUAUCUUAGCUAGGUCAAUAAACCAUAGGUAACCACCCACGCAAACAGUAUCCUACCCACAACCAAGCCUACCCUAACCAAUAGCAUGUAUAGUGAGAACCGACACCUUUUGGCAGUCGCUACCCAACCUAUAUGACUAGCCCAGUGGUGACACGCUCGUGACCGACCCUUGAGUUGUCUCAUAUGCAAGCAUGCAAGAAAAUACUUCGUUCCUUUUCUAUAAAGUGAAUGAUUGCCCCAACCCAUCACACCACAGCCACUCCCAAAAGCCCAAAUCACCAAGAUGUCGGGCCCCGUUGCCCACACCGAGACCACGACAUAUGAGCAUGGAGGUUUUGUAACCAUCCUUGCCAACCUCACACGUCGUGCCUUUGCAUUAGAAGAACCCCAGAGUAUGUUGUGUACCAAGAGCACACGGGUGAUGCCAUCCGUCACUUAUGGGCCACGGUGCACAUCUACAACAGUGGUAUCUCACCAGAGCGCCCCUACCUAUUCACCGGAAGGUCAACUUACUAUGAGCCACAAGCCAUCAAGCUAGCAGCUCGAGAGGCUAUAGUUCAACUCUGGCACCUUUCGCUCAGGGUUAACUGUCGCUCAUUCUCCUACUACCUUAGCCGCGAAGGUUAUAGUCGGCCACCUGAAGUCACCAACAGAGAAAAUGAGACGGACUUCACACUGUUACAUCUUGUGUGCUUCAUAAGAGCGCAAGAGGCACUGUACGAGCAUGUCACCCUCGACCUGAUUGCAGUUCGCGGAGAGCUAUCUCGCCAAACCCCAAGGAGAAGAGAAGCGGAGCCCGACGCCACCAACCCAGUAGUGUUUUUCGGAAGAUCUAUCGAGCCCUUGAGGUCUACCCCUGCCGCCGACCACAAUCAUGCGCAUAUCUCCCUUGAGCAGCUUUGUCACAUCUUGGGGUUUUUCUCCAACGGGGCGGUAGCCACAACACCCAGCAAUGGACGUCAUCUCUACCGCAGCCUUGUAUCCACGCAUCCUACCCCACGCAACCAUGACACCGUAGUCCCAGAAGCCUCGACAUGUGCCAGACCUACUCGACUGGACGUCAAUGAAGUAGACUAAGCCAUAACCCAACCCUAAUAUUCCCUCGCCAAGUAAUAUUAUGAGCUGGUAUUAUCAUGAAUAAAUUGGCACACUGUUUGUGUGCCAUUAUUUUUAAUAGUACCGCUUGUGGACAUGCGUACAACAUUUGACUAUUUAAUAAAACUUGUGCGUAACCACCAGGAGCCAACCCCAACCGAUAACCAUAGUAAUAUGUCACAUUUUGUGAAUUAGAGCAGAACCGACCACCAAGAUUGACCCAACCUGAAGCGUGUGCCCUAACCCAGCCCUAUAUAAGAAGUCACCAAGUGGCCCCCCAGUGCCCUCACCUUGUGCACCGCCUUCACAACCGUUUUCCCCAUGUCACAUCAAGGGAGUUACCUGAGAAAACCGGAUGAAACUCUGGGUAGUUUUGUUAUGAUAUUGCGGGAUUUUACCGGUAGUACCAUGGGUUCUCCCCACCCAUCCCAAUACAAGUUGUUCAAAUCGAGGACCACUUCCACCGUCUCGAAGUAUUGGGGAGUUGUGCACACCCCCCUAGUGAGCCCCAACCAAGACCCUACGAAGUCUCCUUCAUCGGGAAAUCUAUGCCCACUCCGGAAAUGGCCAUAGAGGUUGCUGCCUACGAAGCAAUUACUCGCCUUCGAUUUGCAGUACACCUAUGCCAGUGAACGGGUGUAUUAUUAUUUUUCGAGCCGUGCAACACCCGGAGAAGCAACAUAUUUUCCCGGCACCCGAGCAGAGAGAUCCCGUGUUAAUCAAGCUUGUGUAGUAUGCCAUCGCUCAAGAGCGUUUGACCCGCCAAGUGAUGGAUUUUCUCCACACCCUUGCUGUUAUGAAUCCUCACAUUGCUAUUUGCAGACCUCUCAGGCUAGACCAAGAAGGACACAUUAUGCGAGUCCUCCAGCUGCUGUCCUCUGAGGACGAAAGACAUAUUCCACCGUUGGGAAUAUUUCCAUGUGACCUUUAGAUUUUUGCUUGUUCCGUAGACGCCAUGCUUGUAUUCGUUAGCCUAGCGUUUGAUUGUGUGACAUGAUAUAUGUGCCUUGUUUUAUAAUUUACCCUAUGCAUAUGUUAUGCUGAUUACAAUUGUUUUGUUGCUGUGAUUUAUAAAUGGAUUGUUUUUCUUUGUAGCAACCCCCCGAGUGAGAUUUUCUUAAAUACCACUACCACAAAACUUUUUCCAAUAUAAAAUAGACAUGCAUGCCAUUGCGUCAUCCGACUCACAACCACACCCACUCUACCACAUGCACCCACAAACACAUUUAACACCUAACUAAUUGCCUCGCUAGUACACCAUAGUUUCAUGGAAGGAAACAAUUGUGGCUAUUUUAUUUUUGCAGAGUUGCUGCUAGCACACUAGCACCCACUCGUGCACAAUACAUAUGCCUAGUCAUCAUGGUCACCGCCGCUACGGAGAGCCACCACUCGAGCAGUAGGAUCGCGACGAUCAUCGUGGAUGAUCGUGCAUAGCAGCAUUGAGAGCCCAAUCAAUGCUGCCUUCGCUCUAACCAGGAGGAUCGCAAGCCACACUCGAAGCGUGUACUCCAUUAGAGCCCCACCUUGAGUUCAUCCACGCAGAAAGGAAGGAGGAGGAAAAAUAAGGAGUGAGGCCAGAUGUGUGGAAGAAGAGAGGAACGACGUGGUCGUUUUAUAGCCCGGGUUUGGUGUACGGUGGGCGAAGUCCACGAGCGCCACUCGUCACUCGAUCUUCGGUGUUCGGAGGCGAAUCUGCGAGCAGUGCUGACACGACAUUGGCCCGCGAGGUGAGUGCACGCUGCACCGAGAGCUAACACGUCAUGCACUACCGUAGUAUGGCCCUAAGUGCCCUACGCGCUAGUUGCCACAUGAGGGGAAAGCUCGGAAAGCUCACGAGAGAGGGAAGGAAGAGGAGAGCCGGAGGAAGAAGAAGAGACUCAUAGUGGGCCCUGAGUCCACCUAUCAGCUAGAAAGAGCACUGUACACUUGGAUACGACAAGCACAAUUUGGAUUUAGAGAAAUCUUUUUUUGCAAAAAUUGUUGUAGCCCUAAGUAGCAACGUCUCGAUUGCCGAGUCAUAGAUUUUGUUCACAACACCAAUAUAACACCACGGUUGCCCCAAUUAUUAGCAUUUUCACUCUAACCACGUUGGACCGCAUUUUUGAAUAUUGAGUUUUCAUAUUAUUACCGCAGUAAGGUAGGAGUAAAAAAAAUUGCAACCACCUUAGCAAAUCUCGGGGACGAGAUUUUUCUUAAGGCGGGUAGUUUUGCAACACCCCAAAAAAUUUCUCCAUGUUUUUAUUAAUUAAAUUUUUGCCAAGGAAUUACAUAAUUAAUUUCUGGAUUUUCAGUUAGUAUUAUACCACCCCUUUUUCAUCAAUUCUCACAUUCUCUCCCUCCAUAGAGAAGCUUUUAAAAAUAUUGUGGGAAUUAGAUGUUUGAUUUUAAAAAUAUUUUAAUUUAAUUUUUGAAUUCAAAAAUAAAUAUUUUUACCCCAUCUCUAAUUCUUUGAAAUGGCAUUUUUCAUUCCUUAAAGGCCCUCCAUUUCAGUACAACCCCUUUAAGUAUUUCUUUAAAAAUUCCACCAAAAUUUGGAGAUGUCAAGUGAUGCAUGUAGACAACUUUUAUGCAAAAACACUUCUUGUUAUUUUGAAAUAUUUGAGCAAAACAUCUUCAUUUCUGUUCUUGUCCAAUUUAGUGAUUUUAACUACAACCCUAUUUUAUUUGGCUCUAACAGCAUUGAAACUUUUACUGCUUGUAGUCCAACCUACCAAACCCUUAAGUCCAAGAGAUUAGAGCCAUUGGAGUAUUUCUAGCUCAUGAUAUAAUGCCCUCUAGUUUCUGUCCAAAAUUGUUUUUCUUCAGAAAUUGCACUAGCAAGUUUCUAUUUUUCCCAAACUAAUCCCAUCAUCAUUGCGAGCUUCUAAACAUACCCCAUACUGGAGAAUUUGGACACCAGUAAAACCAUUUUGAUGCCUAUAGCAUUCUGUCGAGCACCUUAAGUGCAUGGCCAGAAUUGGCAUGGUUUUAAGAUUACAUUAUAGACCUGCUCUUGCCCUCUAGACAGAAUGUCCCACAACCGUCCCUUGCCCUCUAGACUAACCGUGUGAAGUCUAAAAUGCAUUGGAGCCCCUGGAAUGCUCUAUCAAUUUGUCGAGCACCUUGGGUGCGUGUCGGAUUUCGGGCUCCGCAAAACCCUAAGGAUUCGAACUCAGGGGCAUGUGUGAAGAUCUCUAGCGGCCUAACCUCGCCCAACUCUCUACUUGAUGGGAACGACGAUGAACUCACUCGACGGUGAGGGAAACACAGAACACAACAGUUUACCCGGGUUCGGGCCGCUGCGAAGCGUAAAACCCUACUCCUGCUUCGGUGGAUUGCCUCUCGUGGAGGUUGGUGGAUGAACUAGUACAGUGCUUGGGCGCCUCUGGAGGCUGGAGGACCUUGUGGAGUGCUAGUGGGUGAAUAGGUGGUUCCGUAAUCGGAUCUCUUCUACGAAGCAACAUAUCCUCUAUUUAUAGUGGCGGCCCCGGUUCUCUUCCCUUAUCGCUUCGGCGGGAAGGGAUCCCACAGUGGCCAAUUUUGAAGGGGAACAAGGGAACAUGCUCCCCUGCCUAAAGGUGGUCUUCACGUGCAAAGUAGCUGCGAGCGUUGCAAGGGAUGGCCCUGGGAUGACGUCCGUCCUGCCAGCGGGCGGCCAGGGUCCUGUUGCUUCAGAAUGGAAACCUUUAAGAGAUGCUUUGGGGAACCUACGUUCGUCCUCGCCCCCUUUGCACCAAAGGGGAAACUGCUCUGCUCUGAUGUCUGCUGCUCGCAUGUCCUUCCCUUGCGUCACGCUUGACUCGUGAGGCCGGGCCUUGCCUCGGAAUAUCCGCUGCCCCGGAGGGGUCCUGAGGAGGCCCCUGCGGGUCUUGAUGCUCCUCCUCCUCGCGUGCUUGGCCCCUCGCGAGGGCCUUGUCCUGAGCGACGUCGGGCCCAUUGGCUUUAGGUCGAUGAAGUGGGCCAACCUUGGGCCGCACGUAGACAGGUUUGGGUACCCCCAUUCCCACGACGCCGACCGUGCGUGCCGAGAGCAUGUCCAGAGCAUGCAUAUUGCAUGCGCCGCGCCUGUGCCACCGCAUCCACCUACCCCUAUGACCCGACCUUUCGCAGCUUGUAGAGCCGCUCCACGCCCCUUCCUCCUUGCUAACCAUCGCCGACAGACCCCCCCCCCGGCGUUGCCGAGAGCUGCCGCUGUAGCCACCUUGGCGGCUAGCCACCGACCGCGUCUGCUCUCGCGAGCUCACCCCUGGAGCAGUCCUCCGUUGGUCCACAACCUCACGUCGCCUUCCAUAGCCUUUCCACGUCACCCCUCCACCUGUCACGGUCGCACCUGCGAUCUUAUCCUCGGGCAGCCGCGACAACCGACUUCCCCGGCUAUAAAAGGACCCCUUGAAUCCCUUUCUGCAAACAGAGCCACCCCAUGCACCUCUCCUUUCAACCCCUAAAGGAACGAGACCACCACAGGAGUUCGUCUCCCUUGUUUCCAUCCGAGACGUCUGCCACAACCCUCCGGUUAAAUCCGACAAAACCAAGACCCCUUUCACCCCGUUUGCUCUCGUUUGGUUUUAUAAAACAUUUGAUAUUUUGGAUGACUUGAAAUUUCGUGUUUGAUCAUAUCCUUUGAUUGUUGUUGCUACUAUGUUAUAUCUGUGUUCUAUCUACAUGAUGAUCAUUCACUCAUUUGUUUGGUGUGCAUUACUAUUCAUUCAUAUCAUUUAUGCGCACCACCAAGAUGUAUGUGACAUGGAAGAGUGACCCAUGAUCCAACUCAACUGUGCAUCUGAAUUCUAAUGCAAAUUCAAAAUAAUGUACAAAUUUAGGGGGAUCUCUUGCUUUUCACAUAUUUCUCAAAGUGACGAUGCUAAUCAUUGAUUAUACCUUUUGUUGAAGGUUUGAUCAAUAUGUUGUCAUUAAUUACUAAAAAGGGGGAGAUUGAAAGAAAAAUUGCUCCCUAAGGUGGUUUUCUGUAAAUGACCAAACCUCGAAGGAUUUGAGUCUCCGUGCUUUACUGUGCUAGUCCCUGGAUCGACUCGCUAGCACACACAAUAUAGAUGAAUACCAAGAUAACAAGUGCAUCAUUUAUUACAACAUAUGAUCCAAAAUUUAUAAAGUAUAACAAUCUGCAUAGCACUUAGCUAACUUUAUUGUAUCAAACAUCGGAAUAGCAGCAGAAUAAUAACGAUGAGUCCCAUCAUAGCCCACUGGUGAUGUUGAGUGAAGACUCGCGACCCUAACGGUACCUUACUCCUCGUCUGAAUAUCCUGCAACAUAAUACAUUGCGGCCAUAUAGGUCAAUACUUCGAUUGUAUUGGCAAGUUAACACAUGAAGAAUAUUAUAGCAGACCUACAUGUACAUGCAUAGUAUAACAAAGGAAAGGCUCGUGGUUAUUUUGCAGAAAGCUGAUUUUAUCCUCACAACUACCUAAUAGUGAAGUUUUAAUUUGUUUGCUGCAAUUCACUAACAUAUGGUUGAAUUGACAUCUCCAACUCCAACCUAUUACCUUUAUUAAGUUUCCCACCAAAUUUUAUUAAGUGUCUCAUCUGUCAAGAUCAUCAAACAACUGUAAUGGCCUAGCUGCUCAAAAUUUUCCAUAACCGGGGACACGACUAAUCGUGAUUAGUUUUUACACUCUGCAGAGGUUUGCACACUGCACCCACUAGACCCAACCCGAAAGUUGAGACGAAGUCUUUCAGAAGCAGUCACCUCCACCCAACGGUAGCCGGUACACCUACUCAUAUCUACAUCUGCUAGCUUUCCUAGGCGAGGUUUCCACAACCUACUCAACUAAGCCAGAGCCCAUAUAGCUAGUGGUUGCGCACGGAAGCUACUAGUCACUAAGUCUGUCUAAACUUUUUGAACCUGGGCGACAUUCCACUUACAUUCAGAGGGUCGAAACCAUGAUGUUCUUGAAACCACCCAGCAAUGCCAUAUCCGCCGAGAGGUGUAUUAUAUCCUUAAUUACUACUCAAUUUAUUUUGUAGUAAUCCUCACGUAAUCUCAAUGCAUACAGGAACCAACCCCGUCUACAUAGCAUAACAAAACUGUAUCUAACACGAUCUUCAAUGACGAGGGGAUAUAGCUCAAUAGCAUAGCAUAAUAAUAAUAUUCCUAUACAUGCAUAAAUUUCAUAGGCUGAUAUAAUACUACAUGCAUAGAAAACAAUAGGUGAAGGAUGAUGAACAUGCAACUUGCCUUGAUUCUAGUUCAAAAGGUCACACUCCUGACAAUAGUUUGUGUCACACUCCGGGCAAUCUACACGUUUCAAACAAUCACAACAAUCAAUCACCACAUUCACACAACACCAAAUAAAACCAACAAAGACAAAACAAUUUUUUUAAACCAACACAACAAUAGCAUGACAACAGGUAUAAAUCAUCUACAGGCUGAUACGAUCAUAGGGAUAGGAAACUUACACAGCUGCCUGCUCGAGGCGGAGCAUCUCCUCCUGAGCCACCUUGGCCACCUACUUGGCAUGCUUACGGCAUUGGGAAAACCGCGCGAUCAGUUAGGGAACCCCGCUCAAAGUGGUGCCGGGGGCUGUCUUCACGAGGGUCAUGCCGGCUGCACCCCAGGUCUCUAUCGACCGGUUCCCGGAACUAGAGCUUGCUUCGGUGGCAGCCGAAACGCGCGUCGACUCGACCAUGGUUCUGGCUCCCAGAAGCGCGCUCGAAGCCAUCCCGUGUGGCGUGUUAGGCUGGCGGUGCUCCUGCAUGGCGGGGACCUUGGUCCUUGGGGCCUCCCUCGCCCCGAUGCAGACUCGCUUGUGGCGUCGACUUCACCAACCAGGACCUCCGUCCUGGGCUGCGGGCCCCCGGCCUCCGGCGCAUCCUUCGGCGCCUCUCGUGUGGCGUCCGGCUGGGUCUCGUGCAUGUCGGGCACUGCGUGGGGACCCUCUGAGGCGGUAUCAAUCUCGGGUUCGGGGCCCGUCGUGGCCUCCGCCGCUUUCGUGUCCACGUCGGACCGCAGGUCCACGUCCGCGUUGGCCUCCUGGUGUUGCGCGGGGUCGUGCCUCAUCUUGGUGCGCCUCUCCCGGGACGACGGCUCCACGCCGGAGUUGUCCACCUGCUUCUCCGCGGGGGUUUGGCCGGUGGCCAUCUUCCGAACCGCCUCCACCCACGGACGGUGCUCUUGCUCCUGCAGCGCCUUUCGCGCCGCAUCCGCCUUGGCCCACACGGCACGCUCCAACGCGGAACCUUCCUGAACUCCCGUCUUUGCAGUAUGGAAGGACUUCGCUAGAGCCACGGCGGACCUGUUCAAGGACGCUCGGUGAGGAAGGAGCUUCACAAAGGAAAAAAGACAAGCCCAUAAGUCAAGACGAAUGACGGACAUACCCGGGCACAAUGGGAACUGGCCAUCUGGCGGGACCUGUGGUGGCGAGCCGCUGCUUCUUCCUGCCGCCUCUGUGGCUUCCAGUCAGAGGACCACCUGCCGAGCGCUUGGGUGCUGGAUGCGCGGUAACCGGAAGUUUGCCCCUCCUCUUCACCGUUGCAGCAUCUUUGUCCGGCUUGCGGGCCGCUCGACGCAGCCGCCUCCUCGGCAUGCUGGAGACGUCUUCUGGCUCCUCCAGAUCCUCCACGGCUGCUACGCCACACAGGUCGGGUAGCACAACAUCAGCAUCGAACCGUUUGUGCAAGCCAGACUUUAAAAACUUACCCGCUGGCUCGGAUCCGUCCAACUCCACUGUCUCGUCACCGGAUUCCGGAUCCCCAGCGUCCUCCGUCUCCCGCGGCUCUACCUCAUCGAUGUCUUUGAUUUCGUCGGGGUACGACAUGGCUACGUCGUUGAAAGUGCAUUAUAUCGACUAGAGGGGGGGGGGUGAAUAGGAGAUUUUUAGAAUUUCAUCACUGAGGGAAAUCCUUUUGAGGAAAUUCCUCACUGAUGACUAACUUACAGCGGAAACAGUUAAGGAUCAGUCGUGCAAUCGUUCACAACAGCAGUAUUACAGAGUGAAGAUNNNNNNNNNNNNNNNNNNNNNNNNNNNNNNNNNNNNNNNNNNNNNNNNNNNNNNNNNNNNNNNNNNNNNNNNNNNNNNNNNNNNNNNNNNNNNNNNNNNNNNNNNNNNNNNNNNNNNNNNNNNNNNNNNNNNNNNNNNNNNNNNNNNNNNNNNNNNNNNNNNNNNNNNNNNNNNNNNNNNNNNNNNNNNNNNNNNNNNNNNNNNNNNNNNNNNNNNNNNNNNNNNNNNNNNNNNNNNNNNNNNNNNNNNNNNNNNNNNNNNNNNNNNNNNNNNNNNNNNNNNNNNNNNNNNNNNNNNNNNNNNNNNNNNNNNNNNNNNNNNNNNNNNNNNNNNNNNNNNNNNNNNNNNNNNNNNNNNNNNNNNNNNNNNNNNNNNNNNNNNNNNNNNNNNNNNNNNNNNNNNNNNNNNNNNNNNNNNNNNNNNNNNNNNNNNNNNNNNNNNNNNNNNNNNNNNNNNNNNNNNNNNNNNNNNNNNNNNGGUAGGAUUUGGCUUGGAUUGAGCAUCAUGAGGAAAUUCAUUCCAUAGCGUUACUUUGACCCUCUUUAACAGUACGGUGUUCCUAUUCAUCAAAUGCGAAGAAAGUAAAACAGAAAAUGCAAAUCUUCACGCUUCAAUUUCUUCAAAAUGAUUUUCUUCAGGAACCAUCGAUCUUCUCAAUGUCAAUAUCUUCAUGAGGAAUAUCAAUUUCAUCGCAGAUUCCUCGUGAUUCUUUUUGGGGUCGAUAUUCUUCAAAUAUCUCAAACUCCUCAAUGACUUAUAGAUCCUGUGUACACUCAUAAACACAUUAGAUACUUAACCUAUAAGUCUUCAAACCACCAAAAUCACUAAGGGGCACUAGAUGCACUUACAAUCUCCCCCUUUUUGGUGGUUGAUGACAAUUAGGUUAAGUCUUCAACAGGGAUCAAAAAUAUGAAGUGUAAAUACUCAAUUGAGGAAUUUGAAGACAAGAUUCACAGAGACUCCCCCUGAAGAUGUGCAUACCUUGAGGAUUUUGCUUUUAUAGCAUAUGCACAUUGAUGAUUUAUAUCAUGGAGAUCUCCCCCUGAAUCUUGUAAAUCAUGCAUACAUAUAACAUAUCAUAUGAAGAAAAUGAAGAUGCAUGAUGGCAAAUGGUAUCUGACGAAUUCCAGCAUGCGUGCAUUAAAACUUGAGGAAUAAGCAUGCGAAGAAAAACGCUCAAAAAGCGUCAGAGUACCAUCGGGCUUAAGUUACAACUCAUUACAUAAAAACUUCAGAAGAGCCAAGAGUUUGUAACUUAAAUAUAGUUCAUAAGCCCCAAAAAUAAAUCCCGUUUGAAGACUAACUCUCAAGUUUCUCCCCCUUUGUCAUCAAGUGACAAAAUGGGACAAACUGAGGACUAACGCCCGUGAAGACUUCAUUUCUUUCCGGUUGAUGAAGAUCCUUGGAGCUUCUUGGGUGUAGUCUUCUUCCUUGGUCCUGUUGCGGUGUCGAGUUGUUCCUCAUCAGAUUCGGCGGUGCGGAAUGACGAGAAGGAGCUGUCUUCAAGAUCUAGCACUGGAAUGGGCCUGAACUUCUUCUUGGGAGGCCACGACCACUCAAAGUCUUGCUCAAAGUUCAUUUGUUCAAGCUCAGUCUGGGUCUUCAGAUGUGCAAGAGUAGCCCAGGUGCGAUCGAAAACCUCAUGCAGAUAGUGAUGAUUAAGUUUCACAGAGUUCUGGGUCUCAAUGAGGGUUUUCACAAUGUCACCAAACUGGCGUUUGACCCAUUUGUGGUUGUGAUCUACCUUCUGAUGAAGACUGAGAAGAAGCUCUCUGGUGUUUAGCACGCGAGGAGGAACAGGGCUGGGUGGACGAGUCUCAGUAUCGUCCCAUGAAGAAUAUGCGUCUGGCUCUUUAAAAUGGCCAUCAAGAGGCCUGCUGCCUUCAUCAAUCACAGACUUUCCUUUUCCCUCAAUGGGCUCGAAAGUCUUCUUGUUGACCCGGAUAGGAGGCAUAUAACCAACACGGUUCUGGAAAUCUGCGUGGAAGUUGAUGCCUGUCCUUGUCCUGAGGAAUCUCAUGAUCCAUGGUGCAUACAUUUUGUGAUCAUAGGGGCACAUUGCAUUGUCAGCCAAAGUCCUCAAGAAGAAAUCAUGGAUAUUCAUGGGGAUACCGUGAAUGAUGUUGAAGAGGAUAUUCUUCAUGAGGCCGACAACAUCUUCUUCAUCGUCAUGGCCUUUGAUUGGCGCGAGCACACUGCAGAGAAUGCGGUAGACAGACCGGGGUGUGUACUUGAGCUCAUGGAUGAGGAAUGUGGUUCUUGAGGGUUUUCCUGCAGCCAAAGGCUUCAUGAGGACUUCCAUCAUUCCAUUUGGCAGCUCACGCUCACCAUAAAGCUUCACUGCCCCGUCUGAAGGAAUUGGUACGGGCAGUUCUCUGAGGAGUUCAGACGCUGGAGCCUUGUAGUGAGUGUUUUGGGUCAUCCAGUCGAACACCCAAGUGUUGAUGUCAUCAGCAUUGCCCGAGAUGUGCAGAGUUGCAUAGAACUGAAGAAUAAGCUCACUAUUCCAAUCUGAUAUGUCUGAGCACAUAGGGAGCAAACCUGCAUCAUGGAGUACACUGAGGACUGGUUCCAUGCAGGGAAUUUCUUCAAGUUCAUCAUGAGGAAUGUGCCUGUGCUGGAAUAUCUUGUUGCAUCCACAGAGCACAGAAGCAUAGUAGUUCAUAUGAGUCCUUGUCCAAAACUUCAGAUGCCUCAUUUGAGGCUUGUCAUAGGGAUUCUCUCCGAUGAAAUACAUGCGUUCCUCGAAGAAAUUUUCUUUCUGAAACUUUGGCCGCUUCGAGAAUGGCAGGCGCUGAACUGGCUUGAUAUUGUGCUGAGGAAUGGGAGGGGAAACAACCAUGGCAGUCUCUGGGUUGAGCACAAUGAAUUCAUUGUCAGGGGCGGGAACAUUUUCUUCAGCAGUUUCCUCAGGUUGAGGAAUUUCAUCAGCUGGUAUUUCUUGCUCUGGCUGAGCUUCAGGCUGAGGAAUUUCUUCUUCCUUCUCAGCUUGAGGAGUUUGGUCAGCCUGUUCAGUGGGAGGAGCCUGCUCAGACUGGACAUUUUCUUCAGCUUGGUUUUCAUCAGCUGACUUUGUGGCAGAAGCAGAUUCAUCAGCUGCUGCAGCUGAAGCUUGAGUAGUCUCUGUCUGAGGAACAUGAGGUUGAGGACUUUCAUCAAUCUGGAUUUCCUCAUCAGUAUGCUCCUCAGAGGCAGCAUCCUUCAUUUCCUCAUCUGCACUUGUAGCUUGGUCACCAAUGACGACCAUUUCAUAUGAAGGUGCAACAUUUAGAGGCACCGGGUCCAGAGGGGCAGAUACUUCAGUUUCCUUGAGGCGUUUUGCCUCAAUCUUUUCUUCUGCUGAGGAAGCUUUUCUCUUCUUCGCUUCCUUCUCAGCAGCUCUUGUCUUUUUUGCGUCUGAUGCAGACUGGAUUAACUUCUUCACCUUUGAAGCUUUUGGUGAAGGUGUUUUCUCUACAGAUUCUUCAGCUGGUAGUGAGGAACCAGCUGGAACAGAGUCAUCAGCCUACUUUGGUGACGCAGCUGGAUCAUGAGCAGUUGCAUCAGGGGUUGCAAUUUCAUCAGUGGCGGUCUCGGUGAUGAUUUCUUCAAUGGCCGGCUCAUCAGCACGACGCGCUUGGUGUUGUUCCUCAGCUUGAGGAAUUUCCUCCUCAUCAGGAGAUGCAUCUUCUGGCUGCUCAACCAGGGGCUGAGGAGUUGGUGCUGGUUGUGGGUGUCGCUUGUUGUAGUCAUCAACAACACUAGUGGCUAGUUUGAUGAAAUUGCGUUUGAUGCUUUUGCGGUCUAACAGUUUGUCACACUUGUCAGUCAAGACUUGCAGCUCUGCCUGGGUUGACACCAAUGCUUCAGGCGUCAGCUUGAGGAGAUUUUGCUUGAGGAAUUUCUCCUUUCUGGCCUUUGCAAUCUUUGCUUGCUUGGCCUUCUGUUCCUUCCACUUGGCUUCGUUUAUGAAGGUGGCCACCAUGUGGCUGACGCCAGGAGGAAGUUUCAAAUCAUCAAUGGGUGUGUUUGGGUCUUCAUACCAUACAUUGAUGAAGUCGAGGAGGACCUUGGGGUCCAUGGCCAGAGGAAUAGCACUGCCUGAUGCUUGUGCUACCCAUUCUUGCUUGUUCCUGAUGAUGGCUUCCAGGGAUUCAUCAUCAUAAUCAUCACUUCCCUCUGAUGCAGACGGGACUGCGAUGAUUUUGCUGGGGCUGGGCAGAGGUGCAGGUUCAGUAGUUGCCAAAGUCUUCACAAGGGGUGUUGAAGACUUUGUCUCCGAGCUAGUUGCAGCUGGGAGUGAGGAGCUGGAGCUGGCAGUCGUAGGCUUCACGACUUUCUUCUGUACUGGUUUUGGAGGUGGAUCUGAGGACUUUGGUGUAGAUGAGAUGGGUGCUGAGGGUUUUAGCACUGAUGGUUUUGGUGUUGACGGUUUUGGAACCGAGGGUUUUGGAGCUGAGGGUUUUGGAGCUGAGGGUUUUGUGACAGAAGUCUGUGUAGACUUCUCUUGAGGCUUUGGAGCCUUUGGCUUUGAUGGCGCAGACUGCUUUUGAGGAAUUUCUGAGCCUGAAGUUUCUGCUGCUGAGGAAUGAGCAGCACCGGAGGUAGCAGCUGAGGAUUCAUUGAAUUUCUUCAUUGCUGUUUCAGCUUGCUUCUUGAGCUUGGCCAGAUGCCUUUCUUUUUCAUCUGGGUAGUCAUCAAGUGUCAUAAGGCUAGAGGGAUGUGCUUCUUGAUGAUCCUCAAGUGGAGCCCUUCUGCCAGGAGGCUUCAACGCGAAUUUCUUCGCAUAUUUUGGGGUCACAAACCUGUACUCCUUCCACUCCUUUGCCCAUCUGCGUUCAAUUUUCUGCAGCCUAAUCUUUCUUUUAGCCAUUGUCUCCGGUUCUUCAUCAGGCGUGCAAUAGUCCAUGUAUAUGUCAUCAGGAAUAUCAACAGCUGUGUUCUGCUCCAGUUUCUUUCCUCCCUUCUGUUUCCUUUCUUCCUCCAUUUUCUUCAGACGAGGAAUUUGCUGAUGAUUUUGAACUCUUGAAGAUUCUGAUGAGCCUUGAAGAGUUUCUUCCAGAAACGUUGCAAAUGAGUUAAUGUGAUGAGAACCGAGAGAUUCAUCAGCUGACAUGUGUGUACCUGUGAACAGAGUAUAGUUGCGAGGAAUUUGGAGAGGUCAUGUGCGUUCUCAGAUUUGAAGAAAAUGAAAAAGUUUGACAGUUUGAGGAAUAUAACCAGUGGUUGAGGAAUUUGCUUAAGCAUACUGUUCUUGGGUUCCAGAGUUGUACAGAUCCGAAAAUUCGCACAAUUGAGGAAUCUCGUGAAAAUCUUAGAUGCUUAGCUAGUUCGUCAAUGAUUGUGGUGAUGGAUAGUGUUUGAGGAAUCAUGUGCGCAUCGUAUCUUGAGGAAAAACAGAUUUCACAUGGGAGAGGUAAAAUUUCAGAUCUAAUCUGCUGUAAAAAUGGGAUAUAUUUACCCUGGAAGGUGCAAACGAAGAACACAAAAGGUGGUGUUGGAGAGGCUCUUCGGUCAAGUGGCCAAUGCACCCUAACUUGGCAGCAGAGGACGUCUACGGCGGCGGCGGACGUAGAUGUUCCGACUCCGGCGUGAUCCUGGCAGCGGAAAGGUUGAGGCAGUGAAGCUCUUCCUUGCAGGCGACAAGACAACCAGCGGUGGCGCUAGGGUUCGAUGGAGAGAGUGAUGGCAGGAGAGCGAUGAGGCGAAGAAGAAGAUACUGAAGGGGUUAAGGACAUAUUUAUAGCCCGAAAGUUACUGUUUGGCGCGAAAUUUUCGGACAGAAUAGCCCUUGCCUCUACGUCUCCGCAGGACACGUGUAGCUCCCGUACGAUGCGGUGGAGAUAGUGGAGAUCGUGGUUAUCCGAUCGUGGGAAGUGGAGUUCAGUUACUGUUCUUUUUAAAGAAAACAAUUUUUGAAGAUUUGAGGAUUUUCGUUACAAAAUCAUCAGCUGACAAGGAUGCAGUGAGGAUUUUGAACAAAGUUUCAAGUAGAACGCAUAUGAAGAAUUGAAUAGACUGGAUAAGUAUAGCAUAGAGGGAAGGUAGGGUCCGAUCACAUUCACUUAGCAGAAACAUCAACUUGAAGAAAUAGCAAUAAGUGAAUGCUGUUGAGGACUCGAAAUCACAGUCUACCUAUGCAAAUAAAAGUCAUCAAGUAUUUUUGAAGAUUUUGUAAUAGAUCAUCACAAUGAAGAACAACUGUUUUGAAGAAAAAUGCAUUGUGAGGAAAUUGACCAUUUGAAGAAAAUAAACUUGAGGAAUUUCACAUUGGGCGGUGGUGUUACCCACCAUAUAAGAACGUUGAUUACAAACGCCGCGUACAAUUGUCGUAGGGCCCUGAGAAUCAAUUUAUUCGUUAAUUUCUUCACAUUCAGAGUGACUUUCUUCAUUGGUUGAAGAAAAUCGUUUCAUCAUGUGUUGCACAUCUAAGUCAUCAACUUUGCAUAAGUGUUAGGAUGUGUGCAUGUUUUUACAAAACAUUUGAAGACUCUAAGAUAUUUAGCUCACACCGCAACUUGCAAAACCUUUUCUCAUCCAAGGGCUUAGUGAAGAUAUCAGCCAGUUGAUCAUCAGUCUUCACAUGGUCGAUGAGGAUAUUGCCCUUGAGGACAUGGUCCCGAAGAAAAUGAUGACGAAUCUGGAUGUGCUUGGUCUUCGAGUGCUGUACUGGGUUAUAUGCAAUCUUGAUAGCACUCUCAUUGUCACAGUAGAGAGGCACAUUCUUCAUGUUGAUGCCGUAGUCCUUGAGGGUUUGCUUCAUCCAUAGCAAUUGAGCACGGCAAGAACCAGCAGCAACGUACUCAGCUUCGGUAGUGGAGAGUGAUACGCAGUUCUGCUUCUUUGAGGACCAGCAAACUAGUGAUCUUCCGAGGAAAUGGUAUGUGCCAGAUGUUGACUUGCGAUCCACACGGUCACCAGCAUAGUCUGAAUCAGAAUACCCUACCAGAUGAAGAUUGGAGCCCUUGGGAUACCACAAUCCUAGUGUUGGUGUGUGAGCUAAGUAUCGAAGAAUAUGUUUCACAGCCUUAUGGUGUGAUUCCUUCGGUUUUGCUUGAAAACAUGCACACAUGCAAACACUAAGCAUUAUAUCUGGCCUAGAUGCACAUAGAUACAAUAAAGAGCCAAUCAUAGAACGGUAUACCUGCUGAUCGAAAUCUUUACCAUUUUCAUCAGUGCCGAGGUGACCGUUGGUAGGCAUUGGAGUCUUUGCACCUUUGCAUUCAUGCAUGUCGAAUUUCCUCAGAACAUCCUUGAGGUAUUUCUCCUGUGAUAUGAAGAUUCCAUUGUUUUGUUGACGAAUUUGAAGACCUAAGAAGAAUUUAAGCUCCCCCAUCAUGGACAUCUGAUAUUCUUCACUCAUCAUAUAGGCAAAUUCAACACUGUAUCUUUUGUCAGUACAACCAAAUAUGAUGUCAUCAACAUAUAUUUGACAUACAAACAGCUCAUUAUCAUAAGAUUUUGUGAAAAGAGUUGGAUCGAGUGAACCAGGUUUGAAGCCUUUCUUCAUGAGGAAUUCCUUCAAUGUAUCAUACCAUGCCCGAGGGGCUUGCUUGAGGCCAUACAGAGCCUUUUUGAGUCUGAAGACUUUGUCUGGAUUCUUUGGAUCCUCAAAACCUGGGGGCUGAGCAACAUAUACUUCUUCCUCAAGCUUACCAUUGAGGAAUGCACUUUUCACAUCCAUUUGAUAUAAGAUGAUGUCAUGAUGAUUAGCAUAAGCAAGUAGAAUUCGAAUAGCUUCAAGUCUAGCAAGAGGUGCAAAAGUUUCAUCGAAAUCUAUUCCUUCAACCUGGGUGUAGCCUUGGGCUACAAGUCGUGCCUUGUUCCUCACCACUUGACCGUCCUCAUCUUGCUUGUUUCGGAAAAUCCACUUGGUGUCGAUGAUGUUAUGCUUGCGAGGAUCUGGUCGUUUGACUAGCUCCCAUACGUCAUUCAGCUUGAAUUGAAGAAGUUCGUCUUGCAUGGCUUGGAUCCACUCCGGUUCCAGAAAAGCCUCAGCUACUUUUGAGGGUUCUGUGAUGGAUACAAAAGAAAAAUGCCCACAAAAUUUAACUAAGUGUGAAGCUUUUGAGCGAGUGAGAGGACCUGGCACGUUGAUGUCGUUGAGGAUUUUGUCAAGUUCUACUUCAUUUGCAAUCCUCGGAUGAGCUGGUUGAGGAUUUUGUCUGGGCUGAGGAAGUGGUGCUGUUGCAAUUUCCUCAGGAGCAUCUUCUUGGUUUUCAUCAGCGAUGGGGAUCGUUUCUUCACCAAUUUCCUCAGUGGGGACAAUGUCUUCAGUAGGCUUAAGCUUUAUUGCUUCCUCAGGAGACAGCUUAUCUGGAUCAGAAGGCAAUUGCUCUCUUUGCGAGCCAUUAGUUUCAUCGAACAGCACAUCUACAGUCUCAACAACUUUGUUGUGGUAGUUGUUGAGGACUCUGUAGGUGUGCGAGUCCUUUCCAUAACCGAUCAUAAAACCUUCAUGUGCCUUAGGUGCAAAUUUUGAGCUAUGAUGAGGAUCUCUAAUCCAGCAUUUUGCACCGAAGACUUUGAAAUAACUUACAUUGGGUUUCUUGUUAGUGAGGAGUUCAUAUGAGGUUUUCUUGAGGAAUUUGUGAAGAUAUACCCUGUUGAUGAUAUGGCAUGCAGUAUUGAUUGCUUCAGGCCAGAAGCGACGAGGAGUCUGAUAUUCUUCAAGCAUAGUUCUUGCCAUCUCUACCAGAGUCCUGUUCUUUCUUUCGACGACACCAUUCUGCUGAGGAGUAUAAGGAGCAGACAAUUCGUGAGUAAUACCAAGUUCAUCAAGAUAAUCAUCAAGACCAGUGUUUUUGAACACGGUUCCAUUAUCACUCCUGAUAUGUUUGAUCUUGAUGCCGAAGUUCGUCAAGGCCCUUGAAGAAAAUCGUUUGAAGAUUUCCUGCACUUCAGUUUUAUACACUAUAAUAUGCACCCAAGUGUAUCUGGAAUAAUCAUCAACUAUGACAAAGCCAUAUAGAGAUGCUGCAUUGGUUAGUGUUGCAUAGUGAGUAGGUCCAAAUAAAUCCAUAUGAAGCAAUUCAAAUGGACGUGUAGUGGUCAUGAUGGUUUUGGAGGGAUGCUUGGAUCUGGUCAUUUUCCCAGAUUCACAAGCACCGCAGAGAUGAUCCUUGAGGAAUUUGACUGAUUCGAUGCCAAUGACAUGCUUCUUCUUUGCAAGUGUGUGCAAAUUCCUCAUGCCUGCAUGACCUAGUCUUCGGUGCCACAGCCAUCCUUCUGAGGUUUUUGCUAGUAAGCAAGUGGCUGGUUGAGGACCUGUAGAGAAGUCAACAAUGUACAAAUCCCCUCUUCUUAUACCUUCGAAGACUUUGGAUCUGUCAGAUUCCAUGAUGACUACACAUCUAUAUCUACCAAAGAUAACAAUCAUAUCAAGAUCACAAAGCAUCGAGACUGACAUGAGGUUAAAACCAAGAGAUUCAACAAGCAUCACUUUGUCCAUAGGCCUAUCCUUGGAAAUAGCUACUUUGCCAAGUCCCAAUACCUUGCUUUUACCUUUAUCAGCAUAUGUGAUUUGCUUCAAAGGUGAUGGAGUUAGUGGCAUAUUCAUCAGCAGGCUUUUAUCACCAGUCAUGUGAUGUGUGCAGCCGCUAUCGAGAACCCACUCAGUAUUUUUGGGUUUGUCUUCCUGCAGAUGAAUUAGUACAGCUUACCAUCUCAUAUGCUUCAGAUUUGAAGAAUAUGAUACUAAUUUCAUUAGUUCAGUGAUUUCAUCAUAACAGAAAUAUAAGGACGUGUGAAAUAUUUCUAUUUCAUCAAUCAUUAGCUUGCGUCCUAUCAAGCAUUUCCUCGGGUCUCCAGCAAAUUCUUCAAAUGAUGAUUUUCAUCUGGAGACCUGUCCUGCAGAAGUGAUUAGUUUGAUUUCUUCACCACCCACAUCUGAAGGGGUGGCAAAGCGUUCAUCAUCCUGCGAGCACCAUAUGAGAAAGGUGGCAUUGAAGCUAAUGCACUUCUCUUAACAGUAGGGGGGUUAAAGUACUCAUAUGAGUAUGCAGAGAACUGGUUUGAGGAUUUAUGAACAUAAUGAUUUGAGGAGUAACGCUCAUAUUCAUAUUCCCUAAAGUUUCCCUCCAUGUUAGUUGCAUAAGCACGGGUACGAGCAUAGUUUAGACCAGUUGAGGAUUUUGAUCCUCUUGAAGACUUUAGUCCUCCUGAGGAAUUUGAUCUGGGGUUCAGAUUCUUCAGUGGUGGUGUCAUGAGGACAUUCACCUGAAGAUUUUUAAGACAACUUUUGGGAACCCAGAUUUUCCUCAGAGGAGGGCCAUUCCUGCAGUUAGUUCCAACAUAUCGAGCAAAUGCUUCACCAGAUUGAUUUUUGAAUAGUUUAUAAUUGGAGUCAAAUGACUCAUCCGAGGAAUAGGAUAAUUCACAUGAGAAGCCAGUUAGAUUGGAUGGAUCAAAAGGAGGCCCAGUAGCAGCAACCCAUGAGGUUUUGGGAUACUGCUCAGGUUUCCAAUAAGUUCCAUCAGCAUUUAAUUUUCUCUCAAAGGCAAUUCCUUCUUUCCUCGGGUUCCUGUUCAAGAUCUGCUUUUUGAGCACAUCACAAAGGGUUUGAUGUCCUUUGAGGCUUUUGUACAUGCCUGUCACGUACAAUUCCUUCAACCCUACAUUUUCAUCACUAACAUUUGUGUUUUCCUCAAGUGAGGAAAUAGGCACAACAGGUGCAGUUGAAGAAUUUGUAGCAUUUGAUGAUUCUGGUGAGGAAUUAGCAGUUUCACGUUCAAUGCAUUUAAGAGAUGGAGGAAUAAAUUCAACUUGACUAGCGCUGAUCUGUUGAGCUAGUAAUGAAUCAUUUUCCGUGCGAAGAUCAUCAUGAGACAUCCUCAGCUUCUCAAGAUCAAGCUUCCUUUGAAGAAAUUCGUAGGAAAGCUUCUCAUGAUUAGUGAGGAGUGUAUCAUGACGAUCUUGAAGAUUAUCAAAUCUGGACUGAAGAUUUUUCAUGUCAUUAGCAAGGAUUUGAUUAAGAUUCAUUUCAUCAUUCAACAGAUCAUCACUUUUGUCUAGCAGUUUUUGAAGCUUUUCCAGAGCAGUUUGUUGUUUGGUGGCAAUGAUAGCAAGUGUACUGUAACUGGGUUUCUUAUAAUCAUUAGGUUCACAGUCACUUGAAUCAGAGGAGGAGGCAUUAUUUGAUACCUUUGAACCUUUUGCCAUGAAGCAAUAGGUUGGAGCGAUGUCAUCAGCAUAGUCAUCAGUAUGGAUGGUGCACUCAUUUUCUUCAAGAUUGAAGAUUGACUUGCUGACGAAAGUGGUAGCUAGUGCAAGACUAGCCUGUCCGGAUUCUGAGUCUUCUCCAGAGCCUUC